UCUGACAAGAGCUGAUGUUUGAGAAUCGCUAUUUCAAAAGUGGUUCUCAGAAUCAUUGGUGACAUAUGAGGGGAAAGAGGAACGAGGGUUACAAGCGAAUACGAGUGAGGGAUUCCAUGGAUGGGUUUGGUGAUUCUCAGAGGGAAAAGGAGUGUAUUUGAGAUGUUGGGAGAAAAAGAAAGAGGGAAAUAAAAAUAAAAACAAAACAUUUGGCGAAAAUCAAAAGUGUGGGAGAUAAAAUGUUUUCCCGGUUAAAAAUUAAAGUUAAAAUAUCAGAUUAAAAUAUUAAUUUAGUCUUUAGCGUCCGUGAAAGCUGAUGCUACUAAAUUCAUUUAAUAAAAUUUAAAAUUAUUUAAUAUUUGAGUCUAAC
rnacentral:lncRNA from 1 species